rnacentral:rRNA from 1 species
UACGGGGGGAGCAAGCGUUGUUCGGAUUUACUGGGCGUAAAGGGCGCGUAGGCGGCGUGACAAGUCACUUGUGAAAAUCUCCGGGCUUAACCCGGAGCGGCCAAGUGAUACUGUCGUGCUAGAGUGCGGAAGGGGCUACUGGAAUUCUCGGUGUAGCGGUGAAAUGCGUAGAGUAUCGAGAGGAACACCUGCGGCGAAGCGGGUAG